AUUGAACGCUGGCGGCAGGCUUAACACAUGCAAGUCGAGCGAGCGGCGGACGGGUGAGUAAUGUCUGGGAAACUGCCUGUUGGAGGGGGAUAACUACUGGAAACGGUAGCCAAUUCCGCAUACCAUCAGAUGUGCCCAGAUGGGAUUAGUUAGUAGGUGGGGUAAUGGCUCACCUAGGCGACGAUCCCUAGCUGGUCUGAGGGAAUGACCAGCAACACUGGAAUUAAGACACGGUCCAGACUCCAACGGGAGGCGGCAGUGGGGAAUAUUGCACAAUGAGCACAAGCCUGAUGCAGCCAUGCCGCGUGUAUGAAGAAGGCCUUGGGGUUGUAAAGUACUUUCAGCGGGGAGGCGUUACCCGCAGAAGAAGCACCGGCUAACUCCGUGCCAGCAGCCGCGGUAAUUC
rnacentral:rRNA from 1 species